GCUGUGGCUCAGUGGUAGAGCAUUUGUCUUGCAUGCAGAAGGUCCCAGGUUCAGUUCCCAGUAUCUCCA